GAACAAUGAAAAAUUCCUCACAACUUUUCCUCAGCUGUUUCAUCUUCCUUUUCUAGUUUCUCGGUUCAGCUGAGGUUUUUCAUGGGUUGCUUCCCUUACUCUAAAGGUACCUUUUGUUGUUUUCGGUAGAGCGGCUUCUCCGGCGAUGGUUCUUGCUUUGCCAAGAGUCUAGUUAUUUUUUUUUUCUUGGUUUAUUAUUGCAGAUCUUGGGGUUUAAAAGAGAUGGUGUGUUCGUAGAUAUGGAGGCGAAAGCUUUCUUUGCUCGGACGAAGUCUUAGCAUGUGUUCUGUGGUGGGACCUCUUGGGACAUCGACGGCCAAACAAUCAUGUUUUGGCUUCUCCUAAGGCUACAAGAGAGGAGACGCCGACAAGAGUCGCCCCACACCUCCUGAAACUGUGCGUUACCAAGCCAAGUUUGACUGGCAUACAGCUGGUUUGGGUGGUCCCAGUUCCUUAAUUAUGGCUUGUUUUCCUUCAAGUAUUGAAGGAGUUCUAUGAGGAUGUGUGUGAAUCCUUCUAACCCGAUGCUGUUUGAUUUUUGUUGGGUUUGGUUUAUUGGCGAAGAUAGUGGUUGUCCGGAACAAUGCUGCUUGACAUUUCGAGAGUUUGGGUUGGAUUGGUUUUGGAAGGGUUUUAUUUUUUUUUUGGGAUCAGGCCGUAUGUUUUUG
rnacentral:lncRNA from 1 species